UUGACCCCUCACAUCACCACUCUACCCCAACAUACCCCUAUACCCCUAGGCUGCCCCCUCCCCUCACGUUUUUCGAUACAUAUACACUAUCACUCUCACAGACCUCAACAAUAUACCAUACACAGAGUCACAAAAGAGGAGGGGGACCUCACACACAAGAUCACCUAUAUACGCACCACGCUCUCACUAGAUAAAAGGGGAUUUUUAUCUCCUCUACUGGAUUUUGGAGCACAACAACAGUAAAUACUGCAAUAUAUAUACACGCAUAAACAUCACACACACACCCUAUCAGAAAAAGGGUAGUACGCGGAUAGAUCGAGAUUCACGCAAACAAAGGUCGAUUCACAGAGUUAAAGGAGAAAAACAGGCAAAAAUUGUCCGAGAACAGUCAAAAGGGGGAUCGGAACAGUAUCACCGGUUUGCCAGAAUCCGCCGUGCUCCGCCGUACUCGCUGCCGUUUGAGUUCACCAGAGUUCCAGCCAUAUAGUUUUCUCCAUUUUCUUGUAAAUUUUGUUUUCAGUUGUUCAUUGUUUUUUGUGGUUUUUCGUGUUCGAAUCGGAUUUUAGAGAUUUUCGUGUUGGAGUUGGCUCAUAGUCAAGUUGUGGUAUUCUUCGAGGUUUCGAGACAACUUUAUUCUCUUCAUAAUUCGCUGUAAAAUACUCCAAAGGUCCAUUUCUCAACUCUAUUUCUUAAUUUUAUACGAUUACAGAUAUUAAUUUGA